GGUUAAGCGACUAAGCGUACACGGUGGAUGCCCUGGCAGUCAGAGGCGAUGAAGGGCGUGCUAAUCUGCGAUAAGCGCCGGUAAGGUGAUAUGAACCGUUAUAACCGGCGAUACCCGAAUGGGGAAACCCAGUGUGAUUCGUCACACUAUCAUUAACUGAAUCCAUAGGUUAAUGAGGCGAACCGGGGGAACUGAAACAUCUAAGUACCCCGAGGAAAAGAAAUCAACCGAGAUUCCCCCAGUAGCGGCGAGCGAACGGGGAGGAGCCCAGAGCCUGAAUCAGCAUGUGUGUUAGUGGAAGCGUCUGGAAAGGCGCGCGAUACAGGGUGACAGCCCCGUACACAAAAGCGCAUGUGCUGUGAGCUCGAUGAGUAGGGCGGGACACGUGGUAUCCUGUCUGAAUAUGGGGGGACCAUCCUCCAAGGCUAAAUACUCCUGACUGACCGAUAGUGAACCAGUACCGUGAGGGAAAGGCGAAAAGAACCCCGGCGAGGGGAGUGAAAAAGAACCUGAAACCGUGUACGUACAAGCAGUGGGAGCACCCUUCGGGGUGUGACUGCGUACCUUUUGUAUAAUGGGUCAGCGACUUAUAUUCUGUAGCAAGGUUAACCGUAUAGGGGAGCCGGAGGGAAACCGAGUCUUAAUUGGGCGUUAAGUUGCAGGGUAUAGACCCGAAACCCGGUGAUCUAGCCAUGGGCAGGUUGAAGGUUGGGUAACACUAACUGGAGGACCGAACCGACUAAUGUUGAAAAAUUAGCGGAUGACCUGUGGCUGGGGGUGAAAGGCCAAUCAAACCGGGAGAUAGCUGGUUCUCCCCGAAAGCUAUUUAGGUAGCGCCUCGUGAAUUCAUCUCCGGGGGUAGAGCACUGUUUCGGCUAGGGGGCCAUCCCGGCUUACCAACCCGAUGCAAACUGCGAAUACCGGAGAAUGUUAUCACGGGAGACACACGGCGGGUGCUAACGUCCGUCGUGAAGAGGGAAACAACCCAGACCGCCAGCUAAGGUCCCAAAGUCAUGGUUAAGUGGGAAACGAUGUGGGAAGGCCCAGACAGCCAGGAUGUUGGCUUAGAAGCAGCCAUCAUUUAAAGAAAGCGUAAUAGCUCACUGGUCGAGUCGGCCUGCGCGGAAGAUGUAACGGGGCUAAACCAUGCACCGAAGCUGCGGCAGCGAACGUAUCACCCAAGACAACUUUACGGAGUUGACGAUUGACGGAGCGAAGCGACGUCAAAGCGUUCAUUAAAGUCGAGUUGGCUUAGGGAUACGUUCGUUGGGUAGGGGAGCGUUCUGUAAGCCUGUGAAGGUGUGUCGUGAGGCAUGCUGGAGGUAUCAGAAGUGCGAAUGCUGACAUAAGUAACGAUAAAGCGGGUGAAAAGCCCGCUCGCCGGAAGACCAAGGGUUCCUGUCCAACGUUAAUCGGGGCAGGGUGAGUCGACCCCUAAGGCGAGGCCGAAAGGCGUAGUCGAUGGGAAACGGGUUAAUAUUCCCGUACUUGGUGUUACUGCGAAGGGGGGACGGAGAAGGCUAUGUUGGCCGGGCGACGGUUGUCCCGGUUUAAGCGUGUAGGUGUGUGUUCCAGGUAAAUCCGGUUCACUUUAACACUGAGGCGUGACGACGAGGCACUACGGUGCUGAAGCAACAAAUGCCCUGCUUCCAGGAAAAGCCUCUAAGCAUCAGGUAACAUCAAAUCGUACCCCAAACCGACACAGGUGGUCAGGUAGAGAAUACCAAGGCGCUUGAGAGAACUCGGGUGAAGGAACUAGGCAAAAUGGUGCCGUAACUUCGGGAGAAGGCACGCUGACACGUAGGUGAAGUGAUUUACUCAUGGAGCUGAAGUCAGUCGAAGAUACCAGCUGGCUGCAACUGUUUAUUAAAAACACAGCACUGUGCAAACACGAAAGUGGACGUAUACGGUGUGACGCCUGCCCGGUGCCGGAAGGUUAAUUGAUGGGGUCAGCGCAAGCGAAGCUCCUGAUCGAAGCCCCGGUAAACGGCGGCCGUAACUAUAACGGUCCUAAGGUAGCGAAAUUCCUUGUCGGGUAAGUUCCGACCUGCACGAAUGGCGUAAUGAUGGCCAGGCUGUCUCCACCCGAGACUCAGUGAAAUUGAACUCGCUGUGAAGAUGCAGUGUACCCGCGGCAAGACGGAAAGACCCCGUGAACCUUUACUAUAGCUUGACACUGAACAUUGAGCCUUGAUGUGUAGGAUAGGUGGGAGGCUUUGAAGUGUGGACGCCAGUCUGCAUGGAGCCGACCUUGAAAUACCACCCUUUAAUGUUUGAUGUUCUAACGUGGACCCGUUACCCGGGUUGCGGACAGUGUCUGGUGGGUAGUUUGACUGGGGCGGUCUCCUCCUAAAGAGUAACGGAGGAGCACGAAGGUUGGCUAAUCCUGGUCGGACAUCAGGAGGUUAGUGCAAUGGCAUAAGCCAGCUUGACUGCGAGCGUGACGGCGCGAGCAGGUGCGAAAGCAGGUCAUAGUGAUCCGGUGGUUCUGAAUGGAAGGGCCAUCGCUCAACGGAUAAAAGGUACUCCGGGGAUAACAGGCUGAUACCGCCCAAGAGUUCAUAUCGACGGCGGUGUUUGGCACCUCGAUGUCGGCUCAUCACAUCCUGGGGCUGAAGUAGGUCCCAAGGGUAUGGCUGUUCGCCAUUUAAAGUGGUACGCGAGCUGGGUUUAGAACGUCGUGAGACAGUUCGGUCCCUAUCUGCCGUGGGCGCUGGAGAACUGAGGGGGGCUGCUCCUAGUACGAGAGGACCGGAGUGGACGCAUCACUGGUGUUCGGGUUGUCAUGCCAAUGGCACUGCCCGGUAGCUAAAUGCGGAAGAGAUAAGUGCUGAAAGCAUCUAAGCACGAAACUUGCCCCGAGAUGAGUUCUCCCUGAGACUUAGAGUCUCCUGAAGGAACGUUGAAGACGACGACGUUGAUAGGCCGGGUGUGUAAGCGCAGCGAUGCGUUGAGCUAACCGGUACUAAUGAACCGUGAGGCUUAACCUUACAACGCCGAAGAUGUUUUG
rnacentral:rRNA from 1 species